rnacentral:rRNA from 1 species
UACAGAGGUCUCAAGCGUUGUUCGGAUUCAUUGGGCGUAAAGGGUGCGUAGGCGGCGCGGUAAGUCGGGUGUGAAAUCUCGGGGCUUAACUCCGAAACUGCAUUCGAUACUGCGGUGCUUUGAGGACUGGAGAGGAGACUGGAAUUCAUGGUGUAGCAGCGAAAUGCGUAGAGAUCAUGAGGAAGACCAGUGGCGAAGGCGGGUCUCUGGACAGUUCCUGACACUGAGACACGAAGGCCAGGGGAGCAAACGGG